UACGGAGGGUGCGAGCGUUAAUCGGAAUUACUGGGCGUAAAGGGUACGUAGGCGGCUUUAUAAGUCAGAUGUGAAAUCCCCGGGCUUAACCUGGGAACUGCAUUUGAAACUGUAUGGCUAGAGUGAGUGAGAGGUUAGUGGAAUUCCAGGCGUAGCGGUGAAAUGCGUAGAGGUCUGGAGGAACAUCAGUGGCGAAGGCGACUAACUGGCACUACACUGACGCUGAGGUACGAAAGCGUGGGGAGCGAACAGG
rnacentral:rRNA from 1 species